GUGUUCGUAUAGCAUUUACACUGCGAAGCGCUCUGACCUUAGACCAAGCAAUUAAUCACCAAUAGAAAAAAAAAUAUAUAGGUAAUAAAAUAGAAGGGUGUGGAUAUUCUUUGGGACCUUGGCUUUAGUUGGACUUGAGUGACGGGGUGUUAGUUUUAAACUUUUACGAUUCUUGAUUGGGAUUCUGUGGGAGUAGUAGUUUUUGUCUUGUCUCAAUAAAAGAGCAUGCUUGCACACACUGGCACUCCACACUUGUAAAUAGAAGAGUAAUUGACUUAGUAGCGAGAGAGAUGAAACUCGAGAACAUUAGCACAAUCUGAGGUAUUAUAAUUGGCAAGGCAAUUACUUCAUAGUUCACUCAUUCAUCAAGUAGUUGCAUUCAUGCAUUGCAUUGUAUUAUUGUAUAAUGUCGUUGACGCUUGAGGACAAGCAUCAGUUUAAGUUUGGGGGUGUGAUAAGUGGUAUUUAUACACACUUAUAGGCCUUCAUUUCUACUUAAAUUGGUUGGUUGUACUUAAGUGUUUAGUGUCUUUUGAUGUGUUUUUAUUGUUUUUCUGUGCAGGUCACGAGUUGAGGUGAUGAAGUGAUUUUCUAUCAUUUUAGGUUGGUUUUGGUGCAUUAAUUGCAAGAAUAGAGA
rnacentral:lncRNA from 1 species